rnacentral:rRNA from 1 species
AUUGAACGCUGGCGGCAUGCCUUACACAUGCAAGUCGAACGGUAACAGGUCUUCGGAUGCUGACGAGUGGCGAACGGGUGCGUAAUACAUCGGAACGUGCCCGAUCGUGGGGGAUAACGAAGCGCAAGCUUUGCUAAUACCGCAUACGAUCUACGGAUGAAAGCCGGGGACUGCAAGGCCUUGCGCGAACGGUGCGGCCGCUGGUAGAUUAGGCAGUUGGUGGGUUAAAAGCUUACCAAGCCGACGAUCUGUAGCUGGUCUGAGAGGAUGACCCGCCACACUGGAACUGAGACACGGCCCAGACUCCUACGGGAGGCAGCAGUGGGGAAUUUUGGACAAUGGGCGAAAGCCUGAUCCAGCAAGGCCGCGUGAAGGAUGAAGGCCUUCGGGUUGUAAACUGCUUUUGUACGGAACGAAAAGACGCUGGUUAAUACCUGGGGUCCAUGACGGUACCGAAAGAAAAAGCACCGGCUAACUACGUG